rnacentral:rRNA from 1 species
UAAGGGUGCGUAGGCGGUCUUUGUAAGUCAGAGGUGAAAUCCUGGAGCUUAACUCCGGAACUGCCUUUGAGACUGCAUGUCUUGAGUGCGGCAGAGGUGAGUGGAAUUCCUCGUGUAGCGGUGAAAUGCGUAGAUAUGUGGAAGAACACCGAUGGCGAAGGCAGCUCACUGGACUGAUAUUGACGCUGAUGCGCGAAAGCGUGGGGAGCAAACAGGAUUAGAUACCCUGGUAGUCCACGCCCUAAACGAUGAUUACUAGCUGU